GAUACGACCGUACCGCAAACCGACACUGGUGCGCGAGAUGAGUAUUCUAAGGCGCUUGAGAGAACUCAGGAGAAGGAACUCGGCAAAUUGACACCGUAACUUCGGAAGAAGGUGUGCCCUAUUAGUGUGUAGUGAACAACGAAGCAUGAAUGGGUUGCAAAAAAUCGGUGGCUGCGACUGUUUAUUAAAAACACAGCACUCUGCAAACACGAAAGUGGACGUAUAGGGUGUGACGCCUGCCCGGUGCUGGAAGAUUAAAUGAUGGGGUGCAAGCUCUUGAUUGAAGUCCCAGUAAACGGCGGCCGUAACAAUAACGGUCCUAAGGUAGCGAAAUUCCUUGUCGGGUAAGUUCCGACCUGCACGAAUGGCGUAACGAUGGCCACACUGUCUCCUCCUGAGACUCAGCGAAGUUGAAAUGCUUGUGAUGAUGCAAUCUCCCCGCGGAAAGACGGAAAGACCCCAUGAACCUUUACUGUAGCUUUGUAUUGGACUUUGAACAGAUCUGUGUAGGAUAGGUGGGAGGCUUUGAAGCAGGGUCGCUAGAUCUUGUGGAGCCAACGUUGAAAUACCACCCUGGUGUGUUUGAGGUUCUAACCUAGGUCCAUUAUCUGGAUCGGGGACAGUGCAUGGUAGGCAGUUUGACUGGGGCGGUCUCCUCCCAAAGCGUAACGGAGGAGUUCGAAGGUACGCUAGUUACGGUCGGACAUCGUGACGAUAGUGCAAUGGCAUAAGCGUGCUUAACUGCGAGACUGACAAGUCGAGCAGAUGCGAAAGCAGGACAUAGUGAUCCGGUGGUUCUGUAUGGAAGGGCCAUCGCUCAACGGAUAAAAGGUACUCUGGGGAUAACAGGCUGAUACCGCCCAAGAGUUCAUAUCGACGGCGGUGUUUGGCACCUCGAUGUCGGCUCAUCUCAUCCUGGGGCUGUAGCCGGUCCCAAGGGUAUGGCUGUUCGCCAUUUAAAGAGGUACGUGAGCUGGGUUUAAAACGUCGUGAGACAGUUUGGUCCCUAUCUUCCGUGGGCGCUGCAGAUUUGAGGAAGCCUGCUCCUAGUACGAGAGGACCGGAGUGGACACACCUCUGGUGUAUCGGUUGUCACGCCAGUGGCAUUGCCGAGUAGCUAAGUGUGGAAGAGAUAACCGCUGAAAGCAUCUAAGCGGGAAACUCGUUUCAAGAUGAGAUCUGCCGGGGCCUUGAGCCCCCUAAAGAGUCGUUCAAGACCAGGACGUUGAUAGGUCAGGUGUGGAAGCCAAAGG
rnacentral:rRNA from 1 species